rnacentral:lncRNA from 1 species
UAACACUAACACAAGACCAUAAAUCAUAUCAUAUAAAUACAUCAAAAACUUCAUACCAAUUUUCAAUCAACCAAGCAACCAUGUUACCUCUAACAUUAGCUAUUCCUUCCAUACUCUUUCUAAUAUUCAUUUGGAUUUUAUUUCAUCCAAAACAUCAUCAACAACAUAAUAAAAAACAUCCACCUGGUCCUAAACCUUUUCCAAUUAUUGGCAACCUUCACAUCCUUGGAAACCUCCCACAUCGUACCCUUCAAUCCCUUGCCCNNNN